rnacentral:lncRNA from 1 species
CAACAAAAGAAAACCAGUGCCAAAAUGUAAGUUGAGAAACUGCCCAAAUCUCUAAUCACCAAGCAGAGCGUAGCCAGAAGUCUGUCCUUUGACAGGAAAUGUACAUAACCAAGAAUUAAGUGCAACAAAAGCAAAUACAAGGCAACUCUGUUGUGCAUCCUGGAGGUUCCUCUUUCGCUGGCUGCUCUGAGCUUUCUGAAGAGCCCGCAGGGAAAUUGCAUGUGCAGUUACACCCAGCAGAUGCAGAUCAGCGGGGAGUUCUUGGCUUCAAAAUCCCCAGACUGACCCUGCAAGCAAGUUCUGUUCCCAUAAACAGCUUCUGCUUCCUCCAGCCAUACACGCGCUGCAGCACU